rnacentral:rRNA from 1 species
GUACGGGAGGCAGCAGUGGGGAAUUUUCCGCAAUGGGCGAAAGCCUGACGGAGUGACGCCGCGUGUGGGAUGAAGGCCUUCGGGUCGUAAACCACUGUCAGUGGGAAAGAAGGGUGUCGGCGCGAUAACCGCCGGCAUCUGACGGUACCUGCAGAGGAAGCCCCGGCUAACUCUGUGCCAGCAGCCGCGGUAAGACAGAGGGGGCAAGCGUUGCUCGGAAUUACUGGGCGUAAAGGGCGCGUAGGCGGGAUGGCAAGUCGGUCGUGAAAUACCUCGGCUCAACUGAGGAGCGUCGAUCGAAACUGCCGUUCUUGAGGGUUGCAGAGGAGACUGGAAUUCCCGGUGUAGCGGUGAGAUGUGUAGAGAUCGGGAGGAACACCGGUGGCGAAGGCGGGUCUCUGGGCAAUUCCUGACGCUGAGGCGCGAAAGCGUGGGGAGCAAACGGGAUUAGAUACCCCGGUAGG